GUCGAGCGGUAAGGCCCUUCGGGGUACACGAGCGGCGAACGGGUGAGUAACACGUGAGCAACCUGCCCCUGACUCCGGGAUAAGCGGUGGAAACGCCGUCUAAUACCGGAUACGACCCUCCACCUCAUGGUGGUGGGUGGAAAGUUUUUCGGUCGGGGAUGGGCUCGCGGCCUAUCAGCUUGUUGGUGGGGUAACGGCCUACCAAGGCGAUUACGGGUAGCCGGCCUGAGAGGGCGACCGGCCACACUGGGACUGAGACACGGCCCAGACUCCUGCGGGAGGCAGCAGUGGGGAAUAUUGCGCAAUGGGCGAAAGCCUGACGCAGCGACGCCGCGUGGGGGAUGACGGCCUUCGGGUUGUAAACCUCUUUUACCACUCACGCAGGCUCCACGUUUUCGUGGGGUUGACGGUAGGUGGGGAAUAAGGACCGGCUAACUACGUGCCAGCAGCCGCGGUAAUACGUAGGGUCCGAGCGUUGUCCGGAAUUAUUGGGCGUAAAGAGCUCGUAGGCGGCGUGUCGCGUCUGCUGUGAAAGACCGGGGCUUAACCCCGGUUCUGCAGUGGAUACGGGCAUGCUAGAGGUAGGUAGGGGAGACUGGAAUUCCUGGUGUAGCGGUGAAAUGCGCAGAUAUCAGGAGGAACACCGGUGGCGAAGGCGGGUCUCUGGGCCUUACCUGACGCUGAGGAGCGAAAGCAUGGGGAGCGAACAGGAUUAGAUACCCUGGUAGUCCAUGCCGUAAACGUUGGGCGCUAGGUGUGGGGACUUUCCACGGUUUCCGCGCCGUAGCUAACGCAUUAAGCGCCCCGCCUGGGGAGUACGGCCGCAAGGCUAAAACUCAAAGGAAUUGACGGGGGCCCGCACAAGCGGCGGAGCAUGUUGCUUAAUUCGACGCAACGCGAAGAACCUUACCAAGGUUUGACAUCACCCGUGGACCUGCAGAGAUGUGGGGUCAUUUAGUUGGCGGGUGACAGGUGGUGCAUGGCUGUCGUCAGCUCGUGUCGUGAGAUGUUGGGUUAAGUCCCGCAACGAGCGCAACCCUUGUUCCAUGUUGCCAGCACGUAAUGGUGGGGACUCAUGGGAGACUGCCGGGGUCAACUC
rnacentral:rRNA from 1 species